CCUUUCCUGUGGCUUGGUUAGUAGAGCAUUACACUAGCAACGCAAGGUUCUGGGUUCAAACCCCAGGGAAAGCA